rnacentral:rRNA from 1 species
CAAUAGCGUAUAUUAAAGUUGUUGCAGUUAAAAAGCUCGUAGUUGGAUUUGUGGCGUACGGUGUGUUCCGGGCACUUGUUGUCUGAGUAACCUGCUGUUGCCAUCCUUGGGUGGAACCUGUGUGGCAUUAGGUUGUCGUGCAGGGGAUGCCCAUCAUUUACUGUGAAAAAAUUAGAGUGUUCAAAGCAGGCUUAUGCCGUUGAAUAUAUUAGCAUGGGAUAAUGAGAUAGGACUUUUUUGCUAUUUUGUUGGUUUGCGCAAGAAGGUAAUGAUUAAUAGGGACAGUUGGGGGUAUUCGUAUUCCAUUGUCAGAGGUGAAAUUCUUGGAUUUUUGGAAGACGAACUACUGCGAAAGCAUUUACCAAGGAUGUUUUCAUUAA